rnacentral:rRNA from 1 species
CAGUCGCCGCGGGAAUACGGAGGGUGCAAGCGUUAAUCGGAAUUACUGGGCGUAAAGCGCACGCAGGCGGUCUGACAAGUCAGAUGUGAAAUCCCCGGGCUUAACCUGGGAACUGCAUUUGAAACUGUCAGGCUGGAGUCUUGUAGAGGGGGGUGGAAUUCCAGGUGUAGCGGUAAAAUGCGUAGAGAUCUGGAGGAAUACCGGUGGCGAAGGCGGCCCCCUGGACAAAGACUGACGCUCAGGUGCGAAAGCGUGGGGAGCAAACAGGAUUAGAUACCCCUGUAGUCCCUGUCUCUUAUAC